rnacentral:rRNA from 1 species
AAUCAACGCUGGCGGCGUGCCUCAGACAUGCAAGUCGAACGAUUAAAGCGUCUCUUCGGAGAGUGUAUAGAGUGGCGCACGGGUGAGUAACACGUAAGUAAUCUACCCUCGGAGUGGGGAAUAAACAACCGGAAACGGUUGCUAAUACCGCAUAAUGCGAGCGGCACCGCAAGGUGACAGUUGUUAAAGAUUUAUCGCUUGAGGAGGAGCUUGCGGGCAGAUUAGCUAGUUGGUAGGGUAACGGCUUACCAAGGCUACGAUCUGUAACCGGUCUAAGAGGACGGUCGGUCACACUGACACUGAAUAACGGGUCAGACUCCUACGGGAGGCAGGCAGUCGGGAAUUUUGGGCAAUGGGCGAAAGCCUGACGCAGCCAAUCCGCGU